AGUGGCGCAAGGGUGCGUAACGCGUAAGUAACUUGCCCCAAGGUAAGGAAUAACGUCGAGAAAUCGGCGCUAAUACCUCAUAAUUGCAGCGGAUCCGCAUGGAUAUGUUGUUAAAGGUUUUACCGCUUGGGAUAGGCUUGCGUCUGAUUAGUUAGUUGGUGUGGUUAACGGGCACACCAAGGCUACGAUCAGUAACUGGUCUGAGAGGAUGAUCAGUCACACUGGAACUGAGACACGGUCCAGACUCCUACGGGAGGCAGCAGUGAGGAAUAUUGGGCAAUGCUCGAAAGAGUGACCCAGCAACGCCGCGUGGAGGAUGAAGGUAUUCUAUAUCGUAAACUCCUGUGAGAGCAGACGAAAGACAGAUUAUUAAUCUGGAUGACUGUAUGCUCAGAGGAAGCCCCGGCUAACUACGUG
rnacentral:rRNA from 1 species